rnacentral:rRNA from 1 species
UACGUAGGGACCAAGCGUUGUUCGGAUUUACUGGGCGUAAAGGGCGCGUAGGCGGCAAUUCAAGUCAUCUGUGAAAUCUCCGGGCUUAACUCGGAACGGUCAGAUGAUACUGCUUUGCUAGAGUGCGGAAGGGGCAAUCGGAAUUCUCGGUGUAGCGGUGAAAUGCGUAGAUAUCGAGAGGAACACCUGAGGUGAAGACGGGUUGCUGGGCUGACACUGACGCUGAGGCGCGAAAGCUAGGGGUAGCAAACGGG